GUACCCUAGAAGUUCUCUUUGUGGAAGUUGAAGCGCGUGGACGAAUUUAAGCUAAAUUCUUGACACAACUUUUUGAGUGGUUUGCGGUUCUCAUUGAUGAUAAGAACUCUUUCUGUAGAAUACAGAACUACUGGGACUGCAAGAUACAUCCAUGUCUGCAUAUUAAAGGUUAACAAGUGUGAUAAGGUUAUCAAAAUGCAAGUGGACAUACCGUCUUUUUGUACCAUUCGUUGGUAAGGAAUAUGAAGCAGCCGUGGAGGAUCAAGAGCACGUA